UACGGAGGUGGCGAGCGUUACUCGGAUUUACUGGGUGUAAAGGGUAUGUAGGUGGCCUAUUAAGUCGAAUGUGAAAUCCCACAGCUUAACUGUGGAACUGCAUUCGAAACUGAUGGGCUCGAGUACAGGAGAGGAGAAUGGAAUUCCCGGUGUAACAGUGAAAUGUGUAGAGAUCGGGAGGAACACCAGUGGCGAAAGCGAUUCUCUGGUCUGAUACUGACACUGAAAUACGAAAGCUUGGGGAG
rnacentral:rRNA from 1 species